GACGAGCAUCACAAACGUUAUUCGGAAUUACUGGGCUUAAAGGGUGCGUAGGCGGUGCAGCAAGUCGGGAGUGAAAUCCCACAGCUCAACUGUGGAAUUGCUUUCGAUACUGCUGUGCUUGAGUGAGAUAGAGGUAAGCGGAACUUAGGGUGGAGCGGUGAAAUGCGUAGAUAUCUGGAGGAAUACCGGUGGCGAAGGCGGCAUCCUGGACCAUUACUGACGCUGAGGCGCGAAAGCUAGGGGAGCAAACGGG
rnacentral:rRNA from 1 species